AACUGAAUUGGCCAAACCUCUCUGAUGGCUGCAACAUGAAAGAAAAAGAGAAAAGGCUGAAAUGAAUGCCCUGAAAUGGGGAAAUCAACAGAUUGCCCGGAAUCACACCUGAACCGUACAUGAGUCAGCCAAAGGUACCUACCAAAGGAGCAGCCCCUCCUUGAUGUUUGGAGUGUAAAUACAACCAUGUCUUGAGACCUGGACAAGAGGUGCUAUCAGCUGGCACUGCAGACUUAUCCCGGCGAAGCCCCUCAGAAGACCAGCAUGGGAGAGGGAAAGGACAACCAGCUUCUCACCACAGCCAGAGCUUGUGCUCUCAGCCUGAGGAAACAAACUCACGUCCUUCCCACUAGAGAAAUCAGCCCUCGUGUUGCUAACAGUGCUGAACUAUGGUCAUGACGUGGAAGAGUUUGGGAUCUCUCAGCAACUCAUUUCCAAACAAAAUAGAGGCUAACAUCUGAUUCAGGACUGCCAACAUCACCAUGGAAACCCCCAAAAAUAAAGACUUGCCCAGCCUUGUGAGAGCACACCUGCAAGAACAAGAAUUGUCUGUCAAAAGCAACUCCCCUUUGUCAUUGAUGUCACCUAAGGACAUUUUGUGGACCGGAGUUUCCUGUUGUACACGUGAAAAAUUUUCACAGAGAAGUCAUCUGGUGUUUACAAGAAGGAAUCUUCCCAGCAUUGCACAGGAGUGAUUUUCCCUGGACAUGGGUGAUUCAUGUGAACUCCAGAUCACUUCAGUGAAACACAGUCUUACAAGGAAGGACGUGCAAUAUCCCACAGAUCACAGCCUUAAAAAGGAUCCAAAACCAGUCAGCAACUGCAUCUUCCACAUGCUGCAGCGCUGCCCUUCAGAACCCCCUGGUUUAUAUCUGGAAGGAGGCCUCGCAAAUGUAGGUCACGGUAACUCAAAAGAAGGGAGCUAAAGGAUGCUGCCCUGGUACACGCGCCCUCCCCGAGCAGCGCUGCCCUGCACCAUGUCCACAUGUCCCACGGGACGUUCUGCACCAUCAGGAUCUGUGCAAGGGAAGGGUGGAGCCGGCUCCUCACCUCCUGUGUGCAGCCACAGGAGAUACCACAUCCUGCGAGCGCUGCCUUCCCUACAGCCCCAUUUUCCUCCUUCCCCUCAGCAAAACGGCGGAAAAGUAGGAAAGGCAGAUGGAGGCGGCAUCGCGGCUUCCACAGAGACAUGCUAGGAGGGAGGGAGGCCCAAAGGAUAGUUGAGGAGGCUACCGCAAAUGCUACAGAGACACAGGACCUCCCCGUAGAUGGCCUUGGCUUCCUACGAAUCCCACCGGAGCCCUACAGCUGUUCCUGCCAUCCAGAUGGGAAAACGUGUUUGCAUGCACAUGCGAGAGCCUCUGAGGAAAUACCUGUGGAGGCAUCUAAGUCAAACUUCAAACAGCAUGUGUAUGUAUUUAUUUAUAAAAACAGAUGCUGACAUCCAUGCUUCUACAGCAUAUACAGCUAUAUUGCAUCAGAGAUAACAUAGUGAGAAAAUCAUACCCCAGAGGAAUGUAGCUUGAACUGAUUUUUCCCUAAGAAAAGACCUAAUCAUAGAAUUCCUGAAGUCAGAAAAGUUUAAUUUAAAAAUAAAUAAAACCUAAUACUGGGGUUCACUGUUCUUAAGUCAAGGAAUUAUUUUCUUCUAACCCCAAAGACACGGCUAUACAAGCUUAGCUUGUAUCUCUUUUGACAGGAUGUAUUUGUGUACUACUCAUUAAUGUUUUACUCACGUUUGAAAUUAAGUAAAAGCAUCUCAUGCAAGAGAAACAAUAACGCUAUAAAAGGAAGACCUUUCACUACUCCAGGACUGUUCCAUAUCCAAACCCAAACUGUUUACUUCUUCAAAGGGAUAAAUAGGACAGUACUCAUGCAGUAAAGGCUUAAACCAUGGUAACCACAUUUUUAAGGUACAUUCUCCAGUAGUUUUCAACAUCGUUCAACUUGCAGACCUAUAAAAAAAAAAAUCCAGUUAUGCAAUGGAGCUCGGCAGACAAAGAAAGCCUCCUUGCCAGAAGACCUGCUAUUCUAUUAACCUUUCAUGGAAUACAUAGAAGGCAACAGACCCCACAGGUUCACAAAGACCAAGCUGGAAAAAAAAAAAUCAUCAUUGCAAUUACAGGAUCUACCACAGUAUUCCCUAAGGUCCACUCAUAAUUCCCAAGGAAUUCAACUGGAGGCGGACUGGGCCUCAAAUUAGCUAACUUUUCCCAUUAUCUGCAAACUACUUUGACAAUAAAUCUGCACUAUGAAGCUCCAACACAAACCGCUGAGGAAUCAAAGGGCCCAGUCCAGCAAACCUUUGCGCUCCUAAGCCAACACAUGGAACAAGCAGGGCUACCCAGCAAGGUAAUGUUUGUCAAGAAAUCCUUAAUAAAUUAACAUGGGAACUCACAAAUUUAACACAGGUUACAUCUGCAAGAAUUAAACUGCACAAACAUCUCAAAGAGAACACAGAACGCUGAUAAAGAUGGGCCAAGCCAGCCUGUGCCCCUUACAGCGCCUGCCGAGCAAUUGUCCCAACGCCACGGCACUGUCCAGCGUCCCACAGCCACAACCACCCAGCAGUGGUCACAGGCGUCCCAAGGAGCAGGGGCAGCAAUUGCGGGAGGGACAGUAUUUAUGAAAAUAAAAGAAAUGAAUUGCAGCCUGUAUGCUGCUGUCUAGAACCGCAGCUACAUUUGUACCACCCAUUCCCUGGGGAAAAUGACAUACAAUGCAAACAGGCCUAGUUGUUCAAUCAUUCAAGUAUUAAGAGAUUCACAGAAAGACAUCUGAGAAACAUAACAUUUUAAUAGAUGAAAUAAAUACUCCAGUACAUGCAAGAUAAAAACUGACAUUGGAAAAAAAAUUAAAAAUCACUUUUGUUAUAGUGUAAUUUGUUUGUUUGUUUAAACACUCACAGUAGCUUUUCCCCCAGUUUGGAAAUCAACACAUGGAAAACAUAAUCACAACCUCCAGUCCUUCCACUCCUACACACCAAAUGCACUUCUAACCUAACACUUGAUGCAAAAUAAAAAAAAGUCAUACAAAACAAACCCAAACAAAAUAGUAGCUACAUCCAUCAUCUACGUGGUGUUGGGGUUUUUCAUUU